rnacentral:pre_miRNA from 1 species
CGGGGGAGGCCGGUUCUGGGCUGUGUCCCGGCGCCCUGGGCUCCGGGGCCUGUGCUGUUGGAUUCGCGCUUCCGCCCCGCAGCCCCCU